UACGGAGGAUGCAAGCGUUAUCCGGAAUUAUUGGGCGUAAAGCGUCCGCAGGUGGUUAUCCAAGUCUGCUGUUAAAGCGCGAGGCUUAACUUCGUACAGGCAGUGGAAACUGGGUGACUGGAGUAUGGUAGGGGUAGCGGGAAUUCCCAGUGUAGCGGUGAAAUGCGUAGAUAUUGGGAAGAACACCAGCGGCGAAAGCGCGCUACUGGGCAUUACUGACACUCAUGGACGAAAGCUAGGGGAGCGAAAGGG
rnacentral:rRNA from 1 species